rnacentral:rRNA from 1 species
GACUUAUAUUCUGUAGCAAGGUUAACCGUAUAGGGGAGCCGGAGGGAAACCGAGUCUUAACCGGGCGUUAAGUUGCAGGGUAUAGACCCGAAACCCGGUGAUCUAGCCAUGGGCAGGUUGAAGGUUGGGUAACACUAACUGGAGGACCGAACCGACUAAUGUUGAAAAAUUAGCGGAUGACCUGUGGCUGGGGGUGAAAGGCCAAUCAAACCGGGAGAUAGCUGGUUCUCCCCGAAAGCUAUUUAGGUAGCGCCUCGUGAAUUCAUCUCCGGGGGUAGAGCACUGUUUCGGCUAGGGGGCCAUCCCGGCUUACCAACCCGAUGCAAACUGCGAAUACCGGAGAAUGUUAUCACGGGAGACACACGGCGGGUGCUAACGUCCGUCGUGAAGAGGGAAACAACCCAGACCGCCAGCUAAGGUCCCAAAGUCAUGGUUAAGUGGGAAACGAUGUGGGAAGGCCCAGACAGCCAGGAUGUUGGCUUAGAAGCAGCCAUCAUUUAAAGAAAGCGUAAUAGCUCACUGGUCGAGUCGGCCUGCGCGGAAGAUGUAACGGGGCUAAACCAUGCACCGAAGCUGCGGCAGCGACGCUGAUGCGUUGUUGGGUAGGGGAGCGUUCUGUAAGCCUGCGAAGGUGGCCUGUGAGGGUUGCUGGAGGUAUCAGAAGUGCGAAUGCUGACAUAAGUAACGAUAAAGCGGGUGAAAAGCCCGCUCGCCGGAAGACCAAGGGUUCCUGUCCAACGUUAAUCGGGGCAGGGUGAGUCGACCCCUAAGGCGAGGCCGAAAGGCGUAGUCGAUGGGAAACGGGUUAAUAUUCCCGUACUUGGUGUUACUGCGAAGGGGGGACGGAGAAGGCUAUGUUGGCCGGGCGACGGUUGUCCCGGUUUAAGCGUGUAGGUGUGUGUUCCAGGUAAAUCCGGUU